rnacentral:rRNA from 1 species
UGCUGUCUCUAUAAAUUUAUUUUUGAAAUUAACUUUUGAGUAAAAAGGCUCAAAUUUAUUUUAAAGACGAGAAGACCCUAUAGAGUUUUAUACUGUUAAAAAUUUUAAGAUUUUGGUUAUUUAUUUUUUAAAAUUUUUUUUAGUAUUUGGUUGGGGNGACUAAAAGAUUUGAUAAACUCUUUUAAUUAAAGAUCAUUUAUUUGUGAAUUUAAAAUCUAAUUUUUUUCAAUUUAAUACAAAUUACCUUAGGGAUAACAGCGUAAUUUUUUUUUAGAGUUCUUAUUGAAAAAAAAG